UAUGGCCACAUCACGUUGAAACACCAGUUCUCAUACAAUCACCAAAGUUAAGCAGCGUUGAGCCUGGUCAGUACCUAGAUAGUUGAAUGCUUGGGAAUACCAGGUGGUGUA